rnacentral:rRNA from 1 species
CUAGUUGGUGAGGUAACGGCUCACCAAGGCGAAGACGGGUAGGGGGUGUGAGAGCACGGCCCCCCACAAUGGGACUGAGACACGGCCCAUACUCCUACGGGAGGCAGCAGCAGGGAAUAUUGCACAAUGGACGGAAGUCUGAUGCAGCGACGCCGCGUGGAUGAUGAAGGCCUUCGGGUUGUAAAAUCCUUUACGGGGUGACGAGGAAGGACGGUAGCCCCGGAACAAGCGUCGGCUAACUACGUGCCAGCAGCCGCGGUAAGACGUAGGACGCAAGCGUUAUCCGGAUUUACUGGGCGUAAAGCGUCUGUAGGCGGAUGAGUAAGUUGGGCGUGAAAGCUCCGGGCUCAACCCGGAGAGGCCGUUCAAUACUGCUGAUCUAGAGGAGGCCAGAGGGGAGUGGAAUUCCUGGAGUAGCGGUAAAAUGCGCAGAUAUCAGGAAGAACACCAGUGGCGAAGGCGGCUCCCUAGGGCCCACCUGACGCUGAGAGACGACAGCUAGGGGAGCGAACAGGAUUAGAGACCCUGGUAGUCCUAGCCGUAAACGAUGGAUGCUAGGUGUAGGGCCGUAGAGGCUCUGUGCCGGAGCGAACGCGAAUAAGCAUCCCACCUGGGGAGUACGGCCGCAAGGCUAAAACUCAAACGAAU